rnacentral:rRNA from 1 species
AGGGGGAAGAACUAACAGGAUUCCCCUAGUAACUGCGAGUGAAGCGGGAAAAGCUCAAAUUUAAAAUCUGAUGGUCCUUGUGGCUAUCCGAGUUGUAAUCUAGAGAAGUGCUAUCCGCGCUGGACCGUGUACAAGUCUCCUGGAACGGAGCGUCAUAGAGGGUGAGAAUCCCGUCUUUGACACGGACUACCAGGGCUUAUGUGAUGCGCUCUCAAAGAGUCGAGUUGUUUGGGAAUGCAGCUCUAAAUGGGUGGUAAAUUCCAUCUAAAGCUAAAUAUUGGCGAGAGACCGAUAGCGAACAAGUACCGUGAGGGAAAGAUGAAAAGAACUUUGGAAAGAGAGUUAAACAGUACGUGAAAUUGUUGAAAGGGAAACGCUUGAAGUCAGUCACGUUGGCCAGGGAUCAACCUUGCUUUUGCUUGGCGUACUUUCUGGUUAACGGGUCAGCAUCAAUUUUGACCGGUGGAUAAAGGUCAGGGGAAUGUGGCAUCUUCGGAUGUGUUAUAGCCCUUGGUUGCAUACAUCGGUUGGGAUUGAGGAACUCAGCACGCCGCAAGGCCGGGUUUUUAACCACGUACGUGCUUAGGAUGCUGGCAUAAUGGCUUUAAUCGACCCGUCUUGAAAAGGGGAACCAAGAA